AACGAACGCUGGCGGCAUGCCUAACACAUGCAAGUCGAACGAGACCUUCGGGUCUAGUGGCGCACGGGUGCGUAACGCGUGGGAACCUGCCCUUAGGUUCGGAAUAACUCCCCGAAAGGGGUGCUAAUACCGGAUAAUGUCUUCGGACCAAAGAUUUAUCGCCUUUGGAUGGGCCCGCGUUGGAUUAGCUAGUUGGUAGGGUAAAAGCCUACCAAGGCGACGAUCCAUAGCUGGUCUGAGAGGAUGAUCAGCCACACUGGGACUGAGACACGGCCCAGACUCCUACGGGAGGCAGCAGUAGGGAAUAAUGGACAGUGGGCGAAAGCCUGAUCCAGCAAUGCCGCGUGAGUGAUGAAGGCCUUAGGGUUGUAAAGCUCUUUUACCCGGGAUGAUAAUGACAGUACCGGGAGAAUGAGCUCCGGCUUACUCCGUG
rnacentral:rRNA from 1 species